AGAGUCUGAUCAUGGCUCAGAUUGAACGCUGGCGGCAGGCCUAACACAUGCAAGUCGAACGGUAACAGGAAGCAGCUUGCUGCUUCGCUGACGAGUGGCGGACGGGUGAGUAAUGUCUGGGAAGCUGCCUGAUGGAGGGGGAUAACUACUGGAAACGGUAGCUAAUACCGCAUAAUGUCGCAAGACCAAAGAGGGGGACCUUCGGGCCUCUUGCCAUCGGAUGUGCCCAGAUGGGAUUAGCUUGUUGGUGGGGUAACGGCUCACCAAGGCGACGAUCCCUAGCUGGUCUGAGAGGAUGACCAGCCACACUGGAACUGAGACACGGUCCAGACUCCUACGGGAGGCAGCAGUGGGGAAUAUUGCACAAUGGGCGCAAGCCUGAUGCAGCCAUGCCGCGUGUAUGAAGAAGGCCUUCGGGUUGUAAAGUACUUUCAGCGGGGAGGAAGGGAGUAAAGUUAAUACCUUUGCUCAUUGACGUUACCCGCAGAAGAAGCACCGGCUAACUCCGUGCCAGCAGCCGCGGUAAUACGGAGGGUGCAAGCGUUAAUCGGAAUUACUGGGCGUAAAGCGCACGCAGGCGGUUUGUUAAGUCAGAUGUGAAAUCCCCGGGCUCAACCUGGGAACUGCAUCUGAUACUGGCAAGCUUGAGUCUCGUAGAGGGGGGUAGAAUUCCAGGUGUAGCGGUGAAAUGCGUAGAGAUCUGGAGGAAUACCGGUGGCGAAGGCGGCCCCCUGGACGAAGACUGACGCUCAGGUGCGAAAGCGUGGGGAGCAAACAGGAUUAGAUACCCUGGUAGUCCACGCCGUAAACGAUGUCGACUUGGAGGUUGUGCCCUUGAGGCGUGGCUUCCGGAGCUAACGCGUUAAGUCGACCGCCUGGGGAGUACGGCCGCAAGGUUAAAACUCAAAUGAAUUGACGGGGGCCCGCACAAGCGGUGGAGCAUGUGGUUUAAUUCGAUGCAACGCGAAGAACCUUACCUGGUCUUGACAUCCACGGAAGUUUUCAGAGAUGAGAAUGUGCCUUCGGGAACCGUGAGACAGGUGCUGCAUGGCUGUCGUCAGCUCGUGUUGUGAAAUGUUGGGUUAAGUCCCGCAACGAGCGCAACCCUUAUCCUUUGUUGCCAGCGGUCCGGCCGGGAACUCAAAGGAGACUGCCAGUGAUAAACUGGAGGAAGGUGGGGAUGACGUCAAGUCAUCAUGGCCCUUACGACCAGGGCUACACACGUGCUACAAUGGCGCAUACAAAGAGAAGCGACCUCGCGAGAGCAAGCGGACCUCAUAAAGUGCGUCGUAGUCCGGAUUGGAGUCUGCAGCUCGACUCCAUGAAGUCGGAAUCGCUAGUAAUCGUGGAUCAGAAUGCCACGGUGAAUACGUUCCCGGGCCUUGUACACACCGCCCGUCACACCAUGGGAGUGGGUUGCAAAAGAAGUAGGUAGCUUAACCUUCGGGAGGGCGCUUACCACUUUGUGAUUCAUGACUGGGGUGAAGUCGUAACAAGGUA
rnacentral:rRNA from 1 species